UAAUGCUCUUGCAGUCUGUUUUAAAUAAGCAGGCUCAAUAAUCAUACUUAGGCUCUGAUAGGCAAUAAUAAGACCGGCCCACAAUAAUACAUGUUUUGUUUUGGCUUGGCUUGAUUUUGGCAGUGUUUGCAAUGGACCCCAAGGCUCCAUGCGCCUAGGCCCUAACCAGAAUCCUCACGCUUCUCAAGGGGACAUCGAGAAGUAGCUCUAACUAUUUUCCUGACAGAGUUGUCUGCUGUCAUUCAUCUGACACCAUGAUAAGCACAUGGAACUCCUGUUAAAAGCUAGAGAGGAACCUGAAAACUCUGGGAAGAUGAGCCUCUCUGCUCUGUCCCCAAGAGGUCUC